AGAUUGAGAGAGAAGAUGAGAGGAAAAAGUAACAAAAGUGAAAACAAUUUGGAAUAUAUUUCAGUUUUUAGUUUUUGCUUUCACUUUUGUUACUCAUCCCUCACAUCAUCUCCUCUUCAAUCU
rnacentral:miRNA from 1 species